rnacentral:rRNA from 1 species
CACGUAGGGGGCGAGCGUUGUUCGGAAUUACUGGGCGUAAAGGGCAUGUAGGCGGCUUUGUAAGCUUGGCGUGAAAUUCCACGGCUUAACCGUGGGAAUGCGUUGAGAACUGCGAGGCUUGAGUGACGGAGAGGGAGCUAGAAUUCCUGGUGUAGGGGUGGAAUCUGUAGAGAUCAGGAAGAAUACCAAUGGCGAAGGCAAGCUCCUGGCCGAUGACUGACGCUGAGGUGCGAAAGUGUGGGGAUCAAACAGG